GAUGAACGCUGGCGGCGUGCCUAAUACAUGCAAGUCGAGCGAACAGACGAGUAGCUUGCUCCUCUGACGUUAGCGGCGGACGUGUGAGUAACACGUGGAUAACCGACCUAGAAGACUGGAGUAAGUUCGUGAAACCGGAGCCAAUACCGGAGAAUAUAUUGAACCGUAUGGUUGGAUAGGGAAAAACGCGUCUGCUGUCACUUAUAGAGGGAUCCGCGCAGCAUUAGCUAGUUGGUACGGUAACGGCUUACCAAGGCAACGAUGCGUAGCCGAACCAAGAGGGUGAUCGGCCACCCUGGAAAGAGGACAAGGUCCAGAAUCGUAAGGGAGGCAGGAGCCAGGAAUCUUCCGGAAUGGGCGAAAGGCUAAAGGGCACACGGGGCGUGAGCGAUGAAGGUCUUCGGAUCGUAAAAGAUUGUUAUUAGGGAAGAAAAAAUGUGUAAGUACCUAUGCAAGUCUUGACGGUACCUAAUCAGAAAGCCACGGCUAACUACGUG
rnacentral:rRNA from 1 species